GAUUGAAAGAUGCAAGCGCAUCACUAGUAGAUGGACCUGCGUUGUAUUAGCUAGUUGGUAAGGUAAGAGCUUACCAAGGCGACGAUACAUAGCCGACCUGAGAGGGUGAUCGGCCACACUGGGACUGAGACACGGCCCAGACUCCUACGGGAGGCAGCAGUAGGGAAUCUUCGGCAAUGGACGAAAGUCUGACCGAGCAACGCCGCGUGAGUGAAGAAGGUUUUCGGAUCGUAAAGCUCUGUUGUAAGUCAAGAACGUGUGUGAGAGUGGAAAGUUCACACAGUGACGGUAGCUUACCAGAAAGGGACGGCUAACUAC
rnacentral:rRNA from 1 species